UAUGCUUGUAAGAAAAACAAAAAAGAAAGAAAAACCAACACUACAAAAGGGUAGAUUGGGUGGGGCAAUGACAACCACAGUAAUUAUAAUCACUUAAAAAGUUUAAAGCCAACAUCAGCCCCUUCUCCCCAGAAAAUUCACAAAUACACCCCCUACACAGCCAUCUUUAUCUCUAAUUUGCUGUUAAAUUCAGCAGUACUAUAAUAAGAUGUCCUCACUACCCUCCAUGCAUUACAAUACAUAUUAAGCAGAGCCAGGGUGCUUUACACCUUUAGUGUUCUACACAAAGUACUUCACAGAAUUACAAUGUAUAGAAAGAAUACACAGAAUACACUGUACAUGACAAUAUUUUGGUAAAGAGGAUUUUUCUAGUUACUUCAAAGUCAAAAAAGAAAGAAUUCCCACACCUAAACCACAUCUUAGUAGAAUAAAAUAGGUUUUAUUUUACUUAAACUCCACUACUUUUCCCCUUUUGCCAAAAUAAAAGUUAAACCAACAUACUUCUUCAGUAAUCCCUAAGCAACAUGAAAACUUCAAAAUAUGGCUGAGGAUUUAGAAAGAUAUCCUACAUUAAAAGGGACACUAGGCGCCAGACCACUUAAUCUCAUUGCAGUGUCUGGUUUCAGUGUCCGUGUUACCGUUUUAAAGAAACCGCAGUGUUAAGACUGCCUCUAAUGCUGGUCUACCAGACAGCCCAGCAGGUUGAAAAACAUUGAGGCAGAGCUGGGGGAAGGCCUAAUGAGAGCAUGCCCAACAUCAGA